AUGGUAACAAUAAGACUUCAUUUCUUCGCCUACUUUAAGCCGUGCAGUGCUGCCUGCCCCAUUGUGCCAUGGGCCCCGGGCUCCUCUGCUGGGCACUGCUUUGUCUCCUGGGAGCAGGCUCAGUGGAGACUGGAGUCACCCAAAGUCCCACACACCUGAUCAGAAUGAGAGGACAGCAAGUGACGCUGAGAUGCUCUCCUCAGUCUGGGCACAACACUGUGUCCUGGUACCAACAGGCCCUGGGUCAGGGGCCCCAGUUUAUUGUUCAGUAUUAUAGGGAGCAAGAGAAUGGCAGAGGAAACUUCCCUCCUAGAUUCUCAGGUCGCCAGUUCCCUAACUAUAGCUCUGAGCUAAAUGUGAACGCCUCGUUGCUGGAGGACUCGGCCCUGUAUCUCUGUGCCAGCAGCUUGGCACAGCCCGGCAGAGUCACUGACAUUCUUGACCAGCAGGGCCGCCGUAGAGGCUCAGAUGUCUUCAGGGGUCAUUACUAUGGCCUCUUCAUGAGCAACUUUGAGGAAUGUUAA